rnacentral:rRNA from 1 species
GGAGUCUGGGCCGUAUCUCAGUCCCAAUGUGGCCGUUCAACCUCUCAGUCCGGCUACUGAUCGCAGCCUUGGUGAGCCGUUACCCCACCAACUAGCUAAUCAGACGUGAGCCCAUCUUUCAGCGGAUUGCUCCUUUGGUUUCCAGGUGAUGUCACCCGGAAACAUUAUGCGGUAUUAGCAGUCGUUUCCAACUGUUGUCCCCCUCUGAAAGGCAGGUUGCUCACGCAUUACUCACCCGUCCGCCACUAAGUCAAAUCCAAUCUUCGACGAAUCUCCGAUCAGAAAUGCUUCGUUCGACUUGCAUGUGUUAGGCACGCCGCCAGCGUUCAUC